GCCCAACAAAAAAAGUUACAAAUUACAAAUAGUGGUAAUUUGUUAAAUCUUUUGAGAAUGUUUGCUAAACAUGUGCAUUUUAUAAUUUACUGGUUGUUUGAAAUACUUCUGACACUCGUGACAAUAAAAUUUAGGAACAACACCACAUUCAUAUUUCUGAUGAGUAGACAAUCCUCCCCUGUAUUUGUAUUUUUUUCCACACUGCGAACAAUUAUGCAUACCUACAUACACAUUUACACAAAAAACAUUAAUAAUUAGAUAAAUUGAAUAGGCAAAAUUAAAAUAUACUUUUUAGUCAACCAUUAUU